GAUUUUCCUCUGGGUUCUUUCAUCUCUGGUAUCUGGCCUGGAUCAUCAGCCUGGCUUAGCUUAUACCUCUUGCUCUCUUCAGACUUCAUUCAUUUUUUAGAGAAAUAGGAUGUUGUGAUCACAUUUCUUGUAUCUUAAAAUCUCUAGUUUCUCUGGACUUGGCUGUUUUGUAUUCAUGGCUUUUGGCUGAUAGUCUUAGGAAAUGCUUUUGGGAAGUGUGGUUGUGCACAUUUGUGUACUCCUGCAGUAGCACCUUGCUGGUGACACUUGGCAGCUAUCAUCUCUUACACUUGCAUAAACAACACAAAGCCUUGCAGCCUGCUUGUUCAUCAUUCAUGUGAGCACAUCAAAGUCAUUUAGGACUUUAAAUCCAAAAAAAGAGUCAGCAAGCACCAGUUAAUGUCACUGCUGCACAAUGUUAUGAAUUGCCUGAGCAGAUGUUAGUGAAAUGACUGUUGGGUUUUAUUUCAUCUGCAGGAUGUUCAGGUUGAUCCAUCUCUGAACAGCUUCUCUCUCCUUAAUGGCCAGUUUGGAAAAGAUGAUGAUCUGUUCCACAAUAGCUGGGAUUUCUUUUUAUUCUGCAUGCUUAAGAGAAGUAUCUAAAAUAUAGCAGGAUGAACAGAAUUAAAAAGAAGAAAGCCUUACAGCUAAAGUCAGGAAACAUGGAUAUUCAUUACUUAACCAUGGACCAAACCUCCAAACUGGUAUUCAGAAACUGAAGUGUAAAAACAGCUGAAAUCAGUUCUGGCAGUGUGUCACAUUCCCUGUAGUGAGCUGAAGCACAGGCUCAGGUGAACAUCACCUGCAUUCUUGUUUCCAGAGUCAGUCCUAAGUUUUGGCUACAGAUAAUUGAUGCAAAGAGUUGCAGCUUAUUUUGAAAGAAAACCCAGUAAGGAUCUUUCCAAGUCUACCUUAGGAACUUGGGAUAUUUGGUGACAUGUGAAAUAGGUGAUUUUGCUUCACUUACCUUUGGCUUUAUAGAGAGGCAGGAGGAUGGUGUAACACCUGCUCAUGCUCUCUGCAGUUCUGUAAACUCUGUGUGUAAGGGUUGAUUCAUUAUUUGCAUAUUGAUAUUACUACCUGGCACUCUCAAAAAGCCUUCCCUGAGAUUGUCAAUUCUGUUUUAUUCAUGUUUGCUGCUUUUGUAUCUCCCUCUUUUCCAUGGGGUAGGAUUGCAGGAUCUGUGCUCUUUGUUUCAAUAACUUUCUCCUCUUUGAAAUGCCAUUAUUUCUGGUCUGUUUGUAGAUGAUGAAGGAUAGACACUGUGAUGGGCACUAAAGCAUGGACUUGAAGUGUGCACUCUGGUGGCAGCAUAUCCAACAGCUGUGUUGCAACAGAGAAGGUAAGUUUAGAGCUGGGGCUGAAGGGGUUGACAAGCUCUGGAUAGUUAAUGUGUUUUGGUUUUUUUUUCUAAUACAAUCCUUAAAGUUUAUAGACAGAUGUUGGAUGUUUUGAGGAUUUUCUUGGAGUGUCCUGAUGCUUAAGAUCAGACAGAAAACCGUUGUCAGCAAAAUCAAAGAAAUUUCUCAUGAAGAAAAAUUAAUUCUGAAUGUUGGUUUGGGAGCUGAUGGUGAAACAAAUGGGAAGUUGUGAUCUUGGACGUUAGACAGCUGCCAAAGCCAGUACAAAAUGGCAAGAAACAGAGCAUUUAUUAUAUAUUAUAUGGGGAGGAGAAGAGAUUAAUUUGAAAAUUAGAUUUUUAACCAUUCUUGCAGUAUUUAUUUGUCUUUUAAGAUAUAGACACAGUAAAUUCACCAGUCUGUUCAGUGAGAUAUUUUUCCUAUUAAUUUUCCUAAUUGAGAAUUACUGUUAAUGUCACACUUGUUGCUAGAAGCUAUUGAGCUGGUCAUGCUCAUUUUUCUCUGCUGAGCUCAGUGAGUUUUGCUCUCCACUCUGUGAUGGAGGAUUGCUGGUUGCUGUUAGCUGUGCUUUAAAGACAAGAAUUCCUGGGUUUGAUCAAGUUUAGGACAUGUUUGUUCUAAAGCCUAAUAAAAGCAUUAACUAAUGUAUAUCUCAUUUCUCUGAUGUGGGUUAUAAGGGACUUGCCUGUCAAUACAUCUGAAUUAUUUAAUUAAAUCUGGAUCUCUUCCUUAGCUAACAAAGCAAACAGUCUCAGAUAUGCUUUGCUAGGCAGAAUCAUGUGUAGACAGCAAGGUUUUAUUAUCUGUCAGGAAAAGUGCACUAUAAGAAGAUGAAAUCUAGAUGACCUUGACUGAAAACAAAGAAAUAAAAUUUUAUGAGAUACACUAUAUUAAUGCCCCAACUUGGAUGUAGGAAUUCCUGAGCAGUAAUUUUGUUUUAAGUGCCAUUAAAGCUCUGUGUGCAAUCUGUACUUCUGCAGGAAAUGUGAAAUAUCCCAGGGACUGGCUGCCUGCCUGAAGGACCCAGUACCUGCCUUUGAUGGCAAGUGACCUGAGCAUGGCUGUGCCCAUGGUGGCACUUCAGGUGGGUGUGUUACCUGUGUUUGCAGACUUUCCUUGUUCUCUGCACUGUACCAGAAACUGCACGUGUCUUGUACAAUCUGUUUGGCCCUCUUGUAAUGUCUGGUUUUCCUAAUAAACAUCUUUUGAAGUCUUUGCUUUGUGGCUGAUUUCCAGGGGUCCAAGUUUCCCAUGUGUUAGGUACAUCCUUCUGAUGUAUUCUUUGGAUCAUGCAGGGAGGAGAAGAAAAACUCAUAACUGCUUCUUUUGAAUAAAAAAACUUUAUUUGAAGCUGCUGUGUCCACACAAGACCUUCACUGGUAGUUUCUCUGUUUUGAGUAUUUUCUUGGAGUGUCCUGAUGCUUAAGAUCAGACAGAAAACCAUUGUAAGCAAAAUCAAAGAAAUUUCUCAUGAAGAAGAGUCAAUUCUGAAUGUUGGUUUGGGAGAUGAUGGUGAAACAAAUGGGAAAUUGUGAUCUUGGGCUUUUGUUCCUGUGAAGUGCCAAGUCCUGUGGGGAAACUUCAGCCACAUGAAGGUGAACUACCAAGAGUUUGGCUUCAUCCUGGCUUGCUGGUUUUUGAUUCAAAGGAGGACUGAGAAGAGAGAAAAAUGCACCCAAUGGUGUUUUUCAAUUUUCCUCCAUUUGGUUCUUUCUGAGAGGAUGAAAGGUAGCCUGUGUGCCCAUGCAGAUCUGGUUUCAAGAGGUGAACAUUUGUGUGCAUGUGUGUAUUGACUUCAAAAUCCCUUUUUUUUUUUUUUCUAUGGCAUGCCAUGGAGAUCAGUUUGGUUUUGUUUUUCAGUUCAGCUGGGCAGAUAUUACCAGAAUCCCUCAGAAAUACACUGGGUUUUCCUAUGCUUAAUCCUUUUUACAUGCAGCAUUGUACUAAUCUUGCUGAAUAGCAGGAAUGUAGGUUCCUGACAACAGCUACUGCAGAAGUGUAAAUUAAGAAGCUGGCAUGAGGUUAUUUUGGAGACUUGGCCAUGAAAACAGAAUUAGAGUUAAUCCUAUAACAAAUAUGUUUGGCAACUUCAAAAAACAUCCAAAACCAAACAUGUUUGGCAACUUAAAAUCCAAAAUGAUGUUUGAUUCAGCUCUGACCCUCCUCAGACAAACAAAACCUUCUCAAAUGUGUUCUUUUGGCCCAUUGUGGUGUCAGUGCUGUGUGUGCAGUCCCUGGGCACAGGCCCUGGUGUGCCUGCUGGCAGGCAGCUUGCUCCCUGGGAACAGGGUGGUGUGAUGCUGCAUUCCAUCAAAAUUCAGUGAAUUUCUCCUAUUAUGAAAAAAGUUUAUCCUGUGAACAACCAAGCAAAUGACUUUCAUGGGGAGAGAAGAGACAAUUUUCAACUGGGACUGGCCUGAAGGAAUCACUGGCUGCAGAUGAGGAGCCAUCCCCAGCCCUGCAAGUCCACCAGAACAGGAAUAAACUUCUUUAGGUUGUGUUUGAUUGUGUGAAUUCCUGCUUUUUCCAAAGGCACCUGUGAACUGGAAAUGAAUCUGAUGUGUAAUUUGUAUUUGUGUGAGCCCCUCCUGCAGUGCUGCAUCCCCUCUGGGAGGUCCCAGCACAAGGAGGACAAGGAGCUGCUGGACAGAGAUGCUCUAAAGGCUGGAGCUCUGUUCAGGGGCCAUGAGAAGGCUUGGGGGACACCUCAGAGCCCUUUCCAGUGCCUAAAGGGGCUCCAGGAGAGCUAGAGCUGAGUUACAUUCUCAGUAUUUUACUUUUAUUUUGCCCCCAACAAUUUAACUUGAUCAGUUGUAGACAAAAUUAUUUAUGGUGUGCAGUUCUCAUGUUUUAAAAAUUAACAAGCAGCUCUUUACAAGUGAUUUUAUUGCCACCUGCUGGAGUUCAAAUUAAAAGUCAGAUUUUUUAAAUAUAUAUUUUGUCUGCCUGAAAUGCCCUUGGAUAAGGGCAGGUGCAUUAGAGAUGUACUUAAAGAAAUGCAGGCUAACCUGUCCCUUAGCAAAGCACUCAUUGACUCAUCUUGUUUGUAAAGAUCAACUGAGAAAACAACUGAAGGGCAAUAUUUGAAUUUUAUCUUUAUAAGGAAAUCAGAAAAAUUUGGCAGGAGACAGAAUUGGAAAACAGCUUGCAAAUGUUGGUGCUGUCAGCUGAGGUGGCAGAUGUAGCCUGGAGUGGGGACAUCACAGAGCCAGGACAGUGCUGGGAAACUGGGACCUCCAGCUCCAGAAACAAAGGUUUCCACACAGCUGCAGCAGCCUUGGUGAGAAUUUGGGGAUUUUUGCAUUCCUGGGCCUGCCUUUCAUCCAGAGGAGCUUUGGAAUGGAACUGGACAACUCUGCAGUAUAAAUUUGUUACUGAUCCUUUCUCCUGAGCUCUGCUGCUCUGAACUCCUCUGGCCAGACUGUGCAGGAGGCAGCACUGCUGGCAGCCUGGCUCACUGCGAGUUGGUUGUGUCAGUGCUGAUGAUUUUUGGGUGCCUGCAAAGCAAACUCUAACCAGGAUCACUGCAAAUUAGCUCAAAUUAGCUCCUUGUCCCAUUGUGACCUGGGGUGUACCAGGAAAAUGAGUGCAAAGUUUCCUUUGCCAUGGGGGGUUGGAGGAACCUGACCCACCUGCAACUGAUGUAAAUAUUAAAUUAAACUAAAGGACAGCAGGUCACAAUGAUUAUUUUGUGUUGAUAAUGUCAUGAACUGUCAGUUGUGAUCUAAUUUAAACAUGUGCCCUGUGAUCACUCCCAGUGCUCCAAAUAUUUCUGCCUUGGACUUCUCUGUUUCCACUUCUGACUUCUGAUGGUUUUUUCCUGUAUUUUCUCUCUGUGCAGUUUCUUUUUGCUUUAUGAUGAACUGGAUUUCCUACAGAGUCUUGCAAAACAUGAAAAGGAAUAAAAUAUCUUUGGUCAUGACCUUC